rnacentral:rRNA from 1 species
AUUGAACGCUGGCGGCAGGCUUAGCACAUGCAAGUCGAGCGGGGUGAUGGUGCUUGCACUAUCACUUAGCGGCGGACGGGUGAGUAAUGCUUAGGAAUCUGCCUAUUAGUGGGGGACAACAGCCCGAAAGGGAUGCUAAUACCGCAUACGUCCUACGGGAGAAAGCAGGGGAUCACUUGUGACCUUGCGCUAAUAGAUGAGCCUACGUCGGAUUAGAUAGUUGGUGGGGUAAAGGCCUACCAAGGGGACGAUUUGGAGCGGGUCCGGGAGGAUAGUCCGCCCCACUGGGACUGAGACACGGCCCAGACUCCUACGGGAGGCAGCAGUGGGGAAUAUUGGACAAUGGGGGGAACCCUGAUCCAGCCAUGCCGCGUGUGUGAAGAAGGCCUUAUGGUUGUAAAGCACUUUAAGCGAGGAGGAGGCUCUUUUGGUUAAUACCCAAGAUGAGUGGACGUUACUCGCAGAAUAAGCACCGGCUAACUCUGUGCCAGCAGCCGCCGUAA